UACGUAGGGUGCGAGCGUUAAUCGGAAUUACUGGGCGUAAAGCGUGCGCAGGCGGUUCGUUGUGUCGGCGGUGAAAGCCCCGGGCUUAACCUGGGAAUGGCCGUUGAAACUGGCGAACUGGAGUGUGGCAGAGGGGGGUGGAAUUCCGGGUGUAGCGGUGGAAUGCGUAGAGAUCCGGAAGAACACCGGUGGCGAAGGCGGCCUGCUGGGCUAUGGCUGACACUGAGGCGCGACAGCGUGGGGAGCAAACAGG
rnacentral:rRNA from 1 species